GAUGAACGCUGACAGAAUGCUUAACACAUCAGCCAUUGAUUGGUGGCGGACGGGUGAGUAACGCGUACAGAACUUGCCUCACAGCUAGGGACAACAUUGGGAAACGAAUGCUAAUACCUAAUACUGUGAGAGAGGUUGGCGUCCCAUUAGCUAGUUGGAGAGGUAACGGCUCACCAAGGUGAUUAUGGGUAGCCGGACUGAGAGGGGGAUCGGCGACAAGUGGACUGAUACACGGCCCUUACUCCUAUGGGAGGCAGAAGUGGGGAAGAUUGGACAAUGUACCAAAGUCUGUUCCAGCAAUUUUGUGUGCACGAUGAAGUUUUCGGAAUGUAAAGUGCUUUCAGUUGGGAAGCGGUACCAACAGAAGAAGGGACGGCUAAAUACGUGCCAGCAGCCGCGGUAAUUC
rnacentral:rRNA from 1 species